CCGGAUGGGGAAUAACAGCCGGAAACGGCUGCUAAUACCGCAUAAUGCAGCGGCUCGACAUCGAGACAGUUGUUAAAGCGGGGGAUCGCAAGACCUCGCGCCUGAAGAGAAGCCUGCGGCAGAUUAGCUAGUUGGUAGGGUAAUGGCCUACCAAGGCGACGAUCUGUAACCGGCCUGAGAGGGCGGUCGGUCACACUGACACUGACAUACGGGUCAG
rnacentral:rRNA from 1 species